UCAAUUUAAUUUGAAUAUAAAAAUUUAUUAAAUUUUAUAAUUAAUAAUUUAUAUUUAAUGAGAAUAGUUAUUUUUUUUUUAUAUUGUAUAGAUAAAAUUCAAUUUUAUUAUAGUUAAUUAGUAAAGUAGUUGAAUAUUGAAAUAUGUGAAAAUUUAAAUAUGAAAAAGAAAAUUUGAUUUAUUGUACCUUGUGUAUCAGGGUUUAUUAAAUAAGAAUUAUAAAAUUUAAUUUUCUCGAAUUUAAAAGAGUUAAAAAAUUAUAAAUUUUAUUGUAAAAUAAAUAUUUUAAAUAAUUUUUUAGUAAUGAAACGUUAGUCGUUUUUAAAUUUAUCUAGUUUUUUAAGAAAUAAAUUUAAUUUAGUUUAUUAUUAAUUAAUUAAAGUAAAUAAAUUUACUUUAAAUUAAAUAAUAAAUUAAUAUUUUAAGGGAUAAGCUUUAAAAUAAAAAUUUAAAAAUUAACUAUAUUAAUUUAUUAAAAUUUAUAGAAUUGGAAAUUUUUAUUAUUUAUAGUAUGUUAUAAUAAAUUUUAAUUAAUAUAUAAUUUAUAUAAAAUUUUAAAUUUUUUAUUAAAAUUAUUAAUUAAAUUUUAAAAUUAAUGUAAUAAUGAUAGAAUUAGUAUAAUUUAAUGUGUAUUUAAUUUAAUUUUUUAAGGUUAAGUUAAGGAAUUCGGCAAUAAUUUUCUUCGCCUGUUUAUUAAAAACAUGUCUUUUUGAUUAUAAUUUAAAGUCUAACCUGCCCUAUGAUUAUAGAUUGAAUGGCCGCGAUAUUUUGAUCGUGCAAAGGUAGCAUAAUAAUUAGUUUUUUAAUUGAGAACUGGUAUGAAUGGUUGGACGAGAGAAAAACUGUCUCAAUUUAAUUUUAUUAGAAUUUUAUUUUUAAGUAAAAAAGCUUAAAUAUAUUUAAAAGACGAGAAGACCCUAUAGAGUUUUAUAUAAUUUUUAUUUUUAAUUAUUAAGAAUUAUUAAUUUAUUAGUAGAGGUUGUAUUUAGUUGGGGUGACUAAAAAAUUUAAUUAACUUUUUUUAAAUAAAUUAAACAUUGAUUUAUGAUUAAAUGAUCCAUAAAGAUAUGAUUAAAAGAUUAAAUUACCUUAGGGAUAACAGCGUAAUUUUUUUUAAGAGUUCUAAUCGAAAAAAAAGUUUGCGACCUCGAUGUUGGAUUAAAAUAAACUUUUAGUGUAGCAGCUAGAAUAGUUGGGUCUGUUCGACCUAUAAAAUUUUACAUGAUCUGAGUUUAAACCGGCGUGAGCCAGGUUGGUUUCUAUCUUUAAAUAGUUUUAAAUAUUUUAGUACGAAAGGACCAAGUAUUUAUAAAAUUUAUUUUAUAUUGAAUAUUAAUAAUUUUAAUUACUUUGGCAGAUUUAGUGCUUU
rnacentral:rRNA from 1 species